GACGAACGCUGGCGGCGUGCCUAAUACAUGCAAGUCGAGCGAAGCGGGGACGGGUGAGUAACACGUGGAUAACCUCCUAUAAGACUGGGAUAACUUCGGGAAACCGGAGCAAAACCGGAUAAUCAUAGAUGGAUCCGCGGUGCUUUGGCUAGUUGGUAAGGUAACGGCUUACCAAGGCAACGAUGCAUAGCCGACCUGCGAGGGUGAUCGGCCACACGAGGACUGAGAAACGGUCCAGAUUCCUCCGGGAGGCAGCGUGAGGAAAUCUUCCGCAAUGGGCGAAAGCCUGACGGAGCACCGCCGCGUGGGUGAUGAAGGUCUUCGGAUCGUAAAUCUCUGUUAUUAGGGAAGCGGUACCUAAUCAGAAAGCCACGGCUAACUACGUGCCAGCAGCCGCGGUAAUAC
rnacentral:rRNA from 1 species